rnacentral:tRNA from 1 species
GCUGUAGCUCAGUGGUACAGCAUCUGCUUAGCAUGCAGAAGGUCCCAGGUUCAAUUCCCGCCAUCUCCA